rnacentral:rRNA from 1 species
ACGAACGCUGGCGGCAGGCUUAACACAUGCAAGUCGAGCGCCCCGCAGGGGGAGCGGCAGACGGGUGAGUAACGCGUGGGAAUCUACCGAGCCCUACGGAAUAACGCAUGGAAACGUGUGCUAAUACCGUAUACGCCCUACGGGGGAAAGAUUUAUCGGGGUUUGAUGAGCCCGCGUUGGAUUAGCUAGUUGGUGGGGUAAAGGCCUACCAAGGCGACGAUCCAUAGCUGGUCUGAGAGGAUGAUCAGCCACAUUGGGACUGAGACACGGCCCAAACUCCUACGGGAGGCAGCAGUGGGGAAUAUUGGACAAUGGGCGCAAGCCUGAUCCAGCCAUGCCGCGUGAGUGAUGAAGGUCUUAGGAUUGUAAAGCUCUUUCACCGGAGAAGAUAAUGACGGUAUCCGGAGAAGAAGCCCCGGCUAACUUCGU